AGAACCCCGCGGGGUCUGAGCAGCCCGGCGUGCCCAUUCCAGCGCCCCCGUCCCCGCAGCAUGCCGCGCCCCCGCCUGCUGGCCGCGCUGUGCGGCGCGCUGCUCUGCGCCCCCAGCCUCCUCGUCGCCCUGGAAUGUGUCGAGCCACUGGGCAUGGAGAAUGGGAACAUUGCCAACUCACAGAUCGCCGCCUCAUCUGUGCGUGUGACCUUCUUGGGUUUGCAGCAUUGGGUCCCGGAGCUGGCCCGCCUGAACCGUGCAGGCAUGGUCAAUGCCUGGACACCCAGCAGCAAUGACGAUAACCCCUGGAUCCAGGUGAACCUGCUGCGGAGGAUGUGGGUAACAGGUGUGGUGACGCAGGGUGCCAGCCGCUUGGCCAGUCAUGAGUACCUGAAGGCCUUCAAGGUGGCCUACAGCCUUAAUGGACACGAAUUCGAUUUCAUCCAUGAUGUUAAUAAAAAACACAAGGUAGGUCUUGUUGGGGCCCGAAAGAAGGGCUGUGGUCCAUACCCCCUAAGGUUCUAGCAUUGACUGAGGACCCCCAGCGAGUCCAGAGAACCCUAGGUGAUUGGCUAUGAUGUGGGUCUUCGGGUGCAUCUUGGCUUCUAAAAAUUGGGAAACCCAGACUGUGUCCAUGUUCUGUGGUUUAUAAGCAAUAGUCCUACUUUAGAGAUGAGACUAGUGAGAUUCAAAAUGGUACAGUGACCUGUUGAGGGUGAUAGUGGUGGUGGAGCUGGGUUUCAUUCUGAGCCUUCAGGGGUACAUGUACAGUUGUGUAGGUUGUCCACUGCUCAAGGAUGUCAUUGCUAAGCAGGCACCAUUCACAGUACAGGCAUUGUACAUUUGUGGAACUCUGUCAGAAAAUUGUCAUAAUAAACUAUUUGAGAAAGGAGUGCCUUUUCCUAAUUUGCAAAGAGAUACCCUGUAGGUUACAGGUGGCCCUGUGUCAGCUAUAGGGGUUUAUGCCCAGGCUCCAUGAUGAUUAAGGAAAGUGAGAGGAGAAUCUUUGUGGAGGGCCAUGGGGUGGCCAA
rnacentral:sRNA from 1 species